UGUUUCAUGGUGGUGAACAUGACGUUCUUGUUGUUGUUGUUGUUGUUGUUGUUGUUGUUUCCGAGAUAGGCUUCUUGAGGGGUCAGAAAUAGGAAGUU
rnacentral:snoRNA from 1 species